GAGAUAGAGGCGCGAAAUUUAAAAGUAAUAUUAUGGAGGUAAGCUCAGUGAAGUAAUAUAAAAGGAAAUUUCGCCGAAGUGAAUAGUUAAUAGCUUUAAUACUAUUUGCUGGUCUUAUAUAGAAUAUAUAUGAGACUGUCACAAUUUGUGAAGAGCUAUUU
rnacentral:ncRNA from 1 species